rnacentral:rRNA from 1 species
AGAGUUUGAUCAUGGCUCAGGAUGAACGCUGGCGGUGUGCCUAAUACAUGCAAGUCGAACGGGAUCUUCGGAUCUAGUGGCGAACGGGUGAGUAACACGUUGGUACCUACCCCGAAGUGGGGAAUAACUGCCCGAAAGGGUGGCUAAUACCGCAUAAUACCGCAAGGUUAAAGCAGUAAUGCGCUUCGGGAGGGGCCUGCGUCCCAUUAGCUAGUUGGUAGGGUAAUGGCCUACCAAGGCGACGAUGGGUAGCUGGAUCGAGAGGUUGACCAGCCACACUGGGACUGAGAUACGGCCCAGACUCCUACGGGAGGCAGCAGUAAGGAAUCUUCCACAAUGGACGAAAGUCUGAUGGAGCAACACCGCGUGCAGGAUGACGGCCUUCGGGUUGUAAACUGCUUUUAUAUGGGAAGAUUAUGACGGUACCAUAUGAAUAAGGACCGGCUAACUACGUGCCAGCAGCCGCGGUAAUACGUAGGGUCCAAGCGUUAUCCGGAAUCACUGGGCGUAAAGCGUGCGUAGGUGGCGUGUUAAGUGUGAUGUUAAAUCGUGGGGCUCAACCCUGUCGGUGCAUCACAUACUGGCAUGCUAGAGGACAGCAGAGGCAAGUGGAAUUUGUAGUGUAGCAGUGAAAUGCGUAGAUAUUACAAGGAACACCAAUGGCGAAGGCGCUUGCUGGGCUACUCCUGACACUGAGGUACGAAAGCGUGGGGAGCGAACAGGAUUAGAUACCCUAGUAGUCC